rnacentral:rRNA from 1 species
UACGUAGGGUGCGAGCGUUGUCCGGAAUUAUUGGGCGUAAAGGGCUCGUAGGCGGUUUGUCGCGUCUGCUGUGAAAACCCGAGGCUCAACCUCGGGCCUGCAGUGGGUACGGGCAGACUAGAGUGCGGUAGGGGAGAUUGGAAUUCCUGGUGUAGCGGUGGAAUGCGCAGAUAUCAGGAGGGAACACCAAUGGCGAAGGCAGAUCUCUGGGCCGUAACUGACGCUGAGGUGCGAAAGCGUGGGGAGCAACAGG